UUUGCAAACUCAGGAAAGGAGAUAAUGCACAUUUGGGUCGUAUUUGGAAGAUUUCCUGAACAACCAUGAGGGAUUAUUUCAAGAACUAAUUGAUAGCAGCUGCAAAGCCACUCUGUAUGUAGGCUCCUUGGUCACCCAUGGGUGAGCAUGCCAUCUGAGCUUGUGAUAUGCUCUGUCCUCAGAAAAAGGCUCGAACAAUGCUAGAUCCCACCUGCAGAGCAUCCACAUCUGGAAGGAAGGUGUGCCCCAGUGAAAAGAUGUGCAAGGCUGUCAUCUUGGCUGCGAAGAAACAAAAGCUCCAGGAGGCACCGCUGUCAGCAGCGGAGCGGAUGCAGAGCCAUGCAGCUGUCACACUCAGAGUGAAGUUCCCUAUUCACUCACCUUCUGCCAUCCGCUCUCAUCAGGUUUCCAGCGAUUUUCCCCUUCCUUCUUCCUGUCACUGACGAGCCCCUGGGAACAUUAAUGCCAUAUUCCUGUCAUCCACAUCGAAUUGCUCCCUCACAUGAAUGGGAAGCACAGUUUUGAAGCAGGUUUAGUUGGACACUUCACCCGGCUAAUUAGAAAAGCUUUGGGUUUUGUUUUGGCUUUUGUAGUUUCAUUCUUUUUCUUCCCCAGAAAGCUGUUCUGAAAUGAUGAACCAAUUCCCGCACCACCAGCAGAGUAAUUAUUUAUGAAUGUUCUGCAAAGACCAGAGUGUAUCAAAAAAUGCUUAAGUCAAACACUCACCCUCUGCACCACUCAGCUGUUCUCACUGAACUCUGGGCCAUCACAUUCAGAGAAGAGAAUGCAGUCCUUAUUAAAAUAGGCUGCCUACCUAAUUGCUUCCUCUGGGAAAAAACUCCCUUUCUUCAAAAUCCUCAUCUCCUUGGAAAAGAGCAGGCCAAAAAUAACAAUGUGUAACUAUAUAUAAACACAUACCUAGGUAUUAAAAUGACUAUGAUUAAUGCAUAUGCGCUAGCAUAUGCCCACAGGCAUUAGAUAGAGAAAGGUAUCUCAAGUGUCUUCUCCACAGUACGAGACAGUGUGCAGGACAGUGAGAGGGUUGUAGGUGGAUCUCGCCAGGCCUCACAGAAAUGAUGGUUCAGUACCUAAAUGCAAGGGAGAGAUCCAUGUAGCCGCUUCCUCUGGGUGCAGGGCGCUGAUGGCCAGUGCCUGCCUUGCUGCCCCCUUCACUCUACUGCGGUGCCACAGAUCCUCUCCCAGACUGAGAUCCCAUGUGUCAGCCCUUUGGCUGUGAUGCAGGAGAGAGGCUGAGCUAAGGUAAUUAGUAAAACUGCAGCCUUCCCCCUGCAGAGAGCAUGGGCAGGGUUCACCUAUGUGAGCUUUAGCGCUCCGCGCAUGAGAUUUGACAGGCUAGUAGUAGGCAGAGGGUAAAUACGUGUGACAGGUCAGUUUACCAUGAAUCUCCGAGUACUAUUGUCUGUUCUCUGCCCUUGGAGCUGUGUCUCUGGGGAGAGCUGAGUCUGCUGAGUGGUGAGUCCAUCUCGAAUGUUUAUAUCAGAUCAAACACUCAUGUAUCCUAGAUACCUGACGUAGCAUGAUCAGCGCCCUGCUAGUCAUGUGGGACAGGAUUUUGAAUGUGGAGGGGAUCACUGGCCCCCUAACUCUCUUCUUUUGUGCAUUAAGUGCUAACAAUAGAAGCUUCAGUAUAUGAUGGGGAUGUAUGUUGUGAAUCCAUCACUGUUUUGUUAUAUGAAUAGCAAUUUUUUUACUUCCAUUGACUAUAGGUCUCUCCACUUUAGGACUUGAUGCGGCUCCUCUUCUGGUGGUGGCAUGCAACUUCUCCUCUGUCACUAAACAGAGAAUGGGCACUACUCUAGCAGGGGCACUACAGCCAUUUUUGGUCUCCCAAUACAUGUGAUCUGCGAGAACAGUGUUUAUCUCCUACAGUUCUAAGCCAGGUGAAAGACUGAUUUCUUAAAAAAAUCAAAUAUAACCCUUUAGUUAGGGAGAAGGUGUCAGCUCAGAGAUUCCCCUUCAGAACUAUGUGCCCCAUAAGCCCUUCUUUGCUACCUUGUCCACUCACCAAAUGGGAAUUUCACUGGCCCAGUUCACAGCUGAGGCAUUCGGUCAAUAUAUGUUAUAUGAACAUAAAGUAAUAACAUGAGACUGGCUACACCUUCUCAAGGCGGUGAUCUGUCUACUGCAAAUUCCUCCAUUUGAUAUAGUGCAACCAAUAGCAGGUAUGGGGAACAAGUA